rnacentral:tRNA from 1 species
AGCGCGUUGGCAGAGUGGUUAUGCAGCGGAUUGCAAAUCCGUGUAACUCGGUUCAAUCCCGAGACGCGCUU